rnacentral:rRNA from 1 species
AGUGAACGCUGGCGGCAGGCCUAAUACAUGCAAGUCGAACGGCAGCACAGCAGAGCUUGCUCUGUGGGUGGCGAGUGGCGGACGGGUGAGGAAUACAUGGGAAUCUGCCCAGUCGUGGGGGAUAACGUAUGGAAACGUACGCUAAUACCGCAUGCGCCCUAAGGGGGAAAGCCGGGGACCGCAAGGCCUGGCGCGAUUGGAUGAGCCCAUGUUCGAUUAGCUAGUUGGCGGGGUAAAGGCCCACCAAGGCGACGAUCGAUAGCUGGUCUGAGAGGAUGAUCAGCCACACUGGAACUGAGACACGGUCCAGACUCCUACGGGAGGCAGCAGUAGGGAAUAUUGGACAAUGGGGGCAACCCUGAUCCAGCCAUGCCGCGUGAGUGAAGAAGGCCCUCGGGUUGUAAAGCUCUUUUGUCCGGAAAGAAAAGCAAUCGGUUAAUACCCGGUUGUUCUGACGGUACCGGAAGAAUAAGCACCGG